rnacentral:rRNA from 1 species
UACGUAGGGUCCGAGCGUUGUCCGGAUUUAUUGGGCGUAAAGAGCUCGUAGGCGGUUUGUCGCGUCUGCUGUGAAAACUCGGGGCUUAACCCCGGGCCUGCAGUGGAUACGGGCUGGCUGGAGGCAGGCAGGGGAGAACGGAAUUCCUGGUGUAGCGGUGAAAUGCGCAGAUAUCAGGAGGAACACCGGUGGCGAAGGCGGCGCUCUGGACCGAGACUGACGCUGAGGCGCGAAAGCGUGGGGAGCAAACAGG